AAUUUUGGACAAUGGGGGCAACCCUGAUCCAGCCAUUUCGCGGGUGUGAUGAAGGCCUUCGGGUUGUAAAGCACUUUUGGCAGGAAAGAAAUCGCGCGGGCUCAUAUCCUGCGUGGAUGACGGUACCUGCAGAAUGAGCCCCGGCCAACUCCGUGCCAGCAGCCGCGGUAACACGUAGGGUGCAAGCGUGAAACGGAAUUACUGGGCGUAAAGGGGGCGCAGGCGGUUCGGGAAGAAGGCUGUGAAAUCCCAGGGCUCAACCUUGGAAUGGCAUUCUUAACUACCGGGCUAGAGUGUGUCAGAGGGGGGUGGGAUUCCGCGUGUAGCAGUGAAAUGCGUAGAGAUGCAGAGGAACACCGAUGGCGAAGGCAGCCCCCUGGGAUAACACUGACGCUCAGGCACGAAAGCGUGGGUAGCAAAC
rnacentral:rRNA from 1 species